rnacentral:rRNA from 1 species
AGGGCGAACGCUGGCGGCGUGCUUAACACAUGCAAGUCGAGCGGAAAGGCCCUUCGGGGUACUCGAGCGGCGAACGGGUGAGUAACACGUGAGCAACCUGCCCUUAGCUUCGGGAUAGCUCCGGGAAACCGGAAUUAAAUACCGAAUAUGACUGCGGCUGACAUCAGCCACGGUGGAAAGUUUUUCGGCUAGGGAUGGACUCGCGGCCUAUCAGCUAGUUGGUGAGGUAACGGCCCACCAAGGCGACGACGGGUA